rnacentral:lncRNA from 1 species
UUUUUUUCCCUCCAAAUCGAUUUGGGGGUAAUUCAGAAAUUCUUGAAGGAUUCCAAAAUCCAAAAGGGUAUAUAUGGAUGUAGGGUGAUAAUUGGGCUUGGAUUUUGGAAAUUACUUGUGCCCUAAGUUAUAUCUAAUCUAAUCUAAUUAAGCUUAUACGUACAAUUAUUAGUCCCGGCGAACGUUUUAACCUAGCAUGAGGAUUCUACAUUUGAAGUAUAAAUUUCUUUAAGAUGUUUUUAUAACUUCAUCUUAUCUGCAGGUCAUUCAUUCUGGUCUUGUAAGUUGUAAGUAAGUUUGAGGGAUAUGUGCGCCCGAUGUGGUCAUUCUCAUCUCAGGAUGGGAUUGGGAUGCCCUGUUUACCUCACCGCUCGCAUAACUUUAAACGUUACUUAUUGCAUCAAAGGGAUUCAAGACCAUAGAGGUAACAAAAUGUGAAAGCCAAAUAGAAGCCAGCUGGAGAGCACUGA